rnacentral:rRNA from 1 species
GACGAACGCUGGCGGCGUGCUUAACACAUGCAAGUCGAGCGGUAAGGCCCUUUCGGGGGUACACGAGCGGCGAACGGGUGAGUAACACGUGGGUGACCUGCCCUCAGCUCUGGGAUAAGCCUGGGAAACCGGGUCUAAUACCGGAUAUGACUCCAUGACGCAUGUUGUGGGGUGGAAAGCCUUGUGCGGCUGAGGAUGGGCCCGCGGCCUAUCAGCCUUGUUGGUGGGGUGAUGGCCUACCAAGGCGACGACGGGUAGCCGGCCUGAGAGGGCGACCGGCCACACUGGGACUGAGACACGGCCCAGACUCCUACGGGAGGCAGCAGUGGGGAAUCUUGCGCAAUGGGCGAAAGCCUGACGCAGCGACGCCGCGUGAGGGAUGACGGCCU